rnacentral:rRNA from 1 species
AACGAGAAAGCUCCCUUCGGGGAGUGAGUAGAGUGGCGAACGGGUGAGUAACGGGUGGGAAACCUACCUCUGUGUGGGGGAUAACAUCCCUAACGGGGUGCUAAUACCGCAUGAAUCGGCGAGUCGCAUGGCUCGUUGGGAAAGGUGGCCUCUACAUGUAAGCUGCCGCACGGAGAUGGUCCCGCCUCCCAUUAGCUUGUUGGUGGGGUAACGGCCUACCAAGGCGAUGAUGGGUAGCCGGCCUGAGAGGGUGUCCGGCCACACUGGGACUGAGAUACGGCCCAGACUCCUACGGGAGGCAGCAGUCGAGAAGCUUCGGCAAUGGGCGAAAGCCUGACCGAGCGACGCCGCGUGAGGGAUGAAGGCCCUAGUGGUUGUAAACCUCUGUCAGGAGGGAAUAAAGCGUCACGGUGAAUACCCGUGACGUCUGAAGGUACCUCCAAAGGAAGCUCCGGCUAACUCCGUGCCAGCAGCCGCGGUAAUACGGAGGGAGCGAACGUUGUUCGGAUUUACUGGGUGUAAAGGGUGCGUAGGCGGCCGCGUGUGUCAGAGGUGAAAUCCCACGGCUCAACCGUGGAAUUGCCUUUGAAACUGCGUGGCUUGAGUCCGG